GGAGAGAUGGCUCAGUGGUUAAGAGCACUGACUUCUUCCAGAGGUCCUGAGUUCAAUUCUCAGCAGCUACA
rfam:Rattus norvegicus chromosome 11, whole genome shotgun sequence.